UAGAAGGCUUCCCCGCUGUUCAUGGUGUGACGCGAGGCGCAGGGUCACAUGGCCCGUGACGCCAGCGUCAUCACCAUAGUUACACAACAAUGCUGGAAAGAAGGCACUCCUCCCCAUCGAGGGGCGGAUUGCCAUGCCCACUAGCCCCAUCCCGCCCCCUCCAGCAGAACGAUUGUAAACAGCAGAUGGCAAUCCCAUCUGAUCAGAAUCCCUGGGAGGGGCCGAGCUACACGGCCCUCCCAGGUCAUGUCCACCCCAUAAAUAGAGCCAACAUAUGACCAGUUCUCCCAGCACCCUGCGAGCUGAAGGGAGUAACGCUGGUAUUACAAUACCCCAAUCACGGUGAGUGCCUGUUCUACCUUAUACUCAAACAAGCCUUUUUGUAACCAACCUAACCUCACUCUAGCAUGUACCUCUCCUUACCAUGCAUGCCUCAGUUUCUAUCUAUAUACGUCUGCUCCACAGGCAUUCGGCACCAGGUUCCUCUCUACAUAUAGAGCCCGGGAUUCCCCCUAGCAACUCUAAGAGGAUCGUCCGCAUUGGACUCAGUAAACCCCCUGACCUGCUGCACUUUUGCCCUAACAAGCCCUACAUUUGGGAUACCGUGUGUUUGGGAUCAAUCGGAGCCAUCCCUCCCCUUUCUCUUUUCUUACUUAUGAGACCCCAUAAGUCGGCCCUGGGGAUAUCCUAAACCGACAAGUUGAGGGUCAAUUUUCAAACCCUGGUUUACCACAAACGAGAGAGAAAAACAGCUUGUAAUCACACACUCCUGUGGCCCCUGAUGAAGGUCUGUUGCUCCAUCAAUAGACCAGAAACGCGUCGGGCAUUUCUCCACUACUCUCUACAGAGUGUUUUUUAAUCUAAUUGUAUUGUAUCUUC